rnacentral:rRNA from 1 species
UACGAAGGGGGCUAGCGUUGCUCGGAAUCACUGGGCGUAAAGCGCACGUAGGCGGAUUGCUAAGUCAGGGGUGAAAUCCUGGAGCUCAACUCCAGAACUGCCUUUGAUACUGGCAACCUUGAGUCCGGGAGGGGUGAGUGGAACUGCGAGUGUAGAGGUGAAAUUCGUAGAUAUUCGCAAGAACACCAGUGGCGAAGGCGGCUCACUGGCCCGGUACUGACGCUGAGGUGCGAAAGCGUGGGGAGCAAACAGG